rnacentral:rRNA from 1 species
UACGUAGGGGGCGAGCGUUGUCCGGAAUUAUUGGGCGUAAAGAGCUCGUAGGCGGUGUGUCGCGUCGGCCGUGAAAACCUGGGGCUUAACUCUGGGCGUGCGGUCGAUACGGGCAUCACUAGAGUUCGGCAGGGGAGACUGGAAUUCCUGGUGUAGCGGUGAAAUGCGCAGAUAUCAGGAGGAACACCGGUGGCGAAGGCGGGUCUCUGGGCAGUAACUGACGCUGAGGAGCGAAAGCGUGGGGAGCGAACAGG